rnacentral:rRNA from 1 species
GAUGAGUGGCGCACGGGUGCGUAACGCGUAACCAACCUACCUACAUCUGGGGGAUAGCCCGCCGAAAGGCGGAUUAAUACCGCAUAAACCAGCAGAGUGGCAUCACUUAACUGGUAAAGAUUUAUUGGAUGUAGAUGGGGUUGCGUGCCAUUAGCUAGUUGGCGGGGUAACGGCCCACCAAGGCGACGAUGGCUAGGGGACCUGAGAGGGUGAUCCCCCACACUGGCACUGAGAUACGGGCCAGACUCCUACGGGAGGCAGCAGUAGGGAAUAUUGGGCAAUGGGCGAGAGCCUGACCCAGCCAUGCCGCGUGCAGGAUGAAGGCCUUCUGGGUUGUAAACUGCUUUUCUCAGGGAAGAAAAAGGGGAUGCGUCCCAAACUGACGGUACCUGAGGAAUAAGCACCGGCUAACUCCGUGCCAGCAGCCGCGGUAAUACGGAGGGUGCAAGCGUUGUCCGGAUUUAUUGGGUUUAAAGGGUGCGUAGGUGGCCCGUUAAGUCCGGGGUGAAAGCCCACUGCUCAACAGUGGAACUGCCCUGGAUA